rnacentral:rRNA from 1 species
GACGAACGCUGGCGGCGUGCUUAACACAUGCAAGUCGAACGGAAAGGCCCUGCUUUUGUGGGGUGCUCGAGUGGCGAACGGGUGAGUAACACGUGAGUAACCUGCCCUUGACUUUGGGAUAACUUCAGGAAACUGGGGCUAAUACCGGAUAGGAGCUCCUGCUGCAUGGUGGGGGUUGGAGAGUUUCGGCGGUUGGGGAUGGACUCGCGGCUUAUCAGCUUGUUGGUGGGGUAGUGGCUUACCAAGGCUUUGACGGGUAGCCGGCCUGAGAGGGUGACCGGCCACAUUGGGACUGAGAUACGGCCCAGACUCCUACGGGAGGCAGCAGUGGGGAAUAUUGCACAAUGGGCGGAAGCCUGAUGCAGCAACGCCGCGUGCGGGAUGACGGCCUUCGGGUUGUAAACCGCUUUCGCCUGUGACGAGGCGUGAGUGACGGUAAUGGGUAAAGAAGCACCGGCUAACUACGUGCCAGCAGCCGCGGUGAUACGUAGGGUGCGAGCGUUGUCCGGAUUUAUUGGGCGUAAAGGGCUCGUAGGUGGUUGAUCGCGUCGGAAGUGUAAUCUUGGGGCUUAACCCUGAGCGUGCUUUCGAUACGGGUUGACUUGAGGAAGGUAGGGGAGAAUGGAAUUCCUGGUGGAGCGGUGGAAUGCGCAGAUAUCAGGAGGAACACCAGUGGCGAAGGCGGUUCUCUGGGCCUUUCCUGACGCUGAGGAGCGAAAGCGUGGGGAGCGAACAGGCUUAGAUACCCUGGUAGUCCACGCUGUAAACGGUGGGUACUAGGUGUGGGGUCCAUUCCACGGGUUCCGUGCCGUAGCUAACGCUUUAAGUACCCCGCCUGGGGAGUACGGCCGCAAGGCUAAAACUCAAAGGAAUUGACGGGGCCCCGCACAAGCGGCGGAGCAUGCGGAUUAAUUCGAUGCAACGCGUAGAACCUUACCUGGGUUUGACAUGGAUCGGGAGUGCUCAGAGAUGGGUGUGCCUCUUUUGGGGUCGGUUCACAGGUGGUGCAUGCCUGUCGUCAGCUCGUGUCGUGAGAUGUUGGGUUAAGUCCCGCAACGAGUGCAACCCUUGUUCACUGUUGCCAGCACGUUAUGGUGGGGACUCAGUGGAGACCGCCGGGGUCAACUCGGAGGAAGGUGGGGAUGACGUCAAGUCCUCAUGCCCCUUAUGUCCAGGGCUUCACGCAUGCUACAAUGGCUGGUACAGAGAGUGGCGAGCCUGUGAGGGUGAGCGAAUCUCGGAAAGCCGGUCUCAGUUCGGAUUGGGGUCUGCAACUCGACCUCAUGAAGUCGGAGUCGCUAGUAAUCGCAGAUCAGCAACGCUGCGGUGAAUACGUUCCCGGGGCU